AAUGUCAAGACACUGCUGUUGGAAAAUUGUGAAGGGAUCUUUGAUAUCUUUAGCAGUGUUGUCAUGGCAACGGAUUAAAUUACAUGGUGUUGUAGUCAAACUGGAAUGGUGGCAUAUAUCUAUUGCGCACUGUAUGAUUAGGGUCAAAGUUGACAUGAAUGUUGAGUUGUUGCGGUGUCCAUCAUCCUUUGUUUUCCGAAAGCCACCAAGUGGAAAUGGACCCAUGGUGCUUGGGCCCAUCAUCGCUGCUUGCAGCUAUAUUUAUUAUUAGGGCCCAAGCACUGAAAGUGCAAGAGCCCUAUUGUUCUUCUAAGGAUUAUUAUUAUUUUUUUUAUUUUUUUUUUUUUUUUCAAGGCUUUCAGUACUUUUGGGGUACAUAACAUGUGUGAAAACUUGCAUGCAUUUGCACACACAUUAGAGUCGUUGGCCAUUAGGGCUUGGCAAAGUUGCAGGGGGGGCUCCAUAUGUGUAAACGUAAACUCCGAAGCCCUCGAGUAUAGCCCUACUUGUGUAAAGACCAGCGAGUGCAUAUUUUUAUUCUGUUUUGGACUCCCUUUGUUUGAUUUUGGCGCGGUUUUUAUCAGUAAGAUUUAUGACUUUGUGUGUGGGCCUCAGUCAGGUUUUAUGACUGUGUUAGACCUGCCUUUGUCUUCUAUCUGAAUACAUGAGGCCCAACAAUGCAAGACAAAACGCAACCUACACAACCUACGGCCACUUUGCACUUCAACGCCUGCUACGCUCUCUUUCUCAGUAGGACUCUGGAACUGCCAGUCAGCUGUGAACAAAGCUGACUUCAUUCCAGCUUUUGCCACACAGUCCACCCUCAGCAUCCUGGCACUGACAGAAACAUGGAAAACGUCCAGAGGAUACAGCAACACCUGCAGCUCUCUCCAACAACUUCUCCUUCUCUCACACCCCUCGACACACUGGUAGGGGUGGGGGAACAGGUUUGCUCAUUUAUAACAACUGGACUUUUUCACCACACUCUUCUCUAUGUAACACUACUACAUUUGAAUUCCAUGCUAUUACUACAAUGCAACCCACAAAAAUACAUGUUGUUGUCAUUUAUCGCCCUCCAGGUCAGCUGGCAAACUUUCUCAAGGAGUUGGAUGUCCUGCUCUCCUCCUUCCCGGAGGAUGGUAAGCCACUUGUUGGUCUUGGUGAUUUCAACAUACACCAAGACAAGCCCCAGGCCACUGAACUGAAUGCUCUUCUGGCCUCAUUUGACUUGGAAUGACUAAGCACCACAGCAACUCACAGAUUGGGCAACCAGCUGGACCUCAUUUUUACAUGCCAGCAUGUACUACACCACUCAGCCCCUGGCCCACUGGCGUCCUUCGUGAACAUCGGACUGACCUCAGGGUGGCUGAGAGGAGAUGGCGGAAAUCUAAAGAUCCAGCAGAUCUAGAACAAGCUGCUGGAUGACAAUCAGUCAGGCUUCAAAAGUGGACACUCCACCGAGACUGCCCUGCUAUCUGUCACUGAGUCGCUGAGACAAGCAAAAGCUGAAUCCAGAUCAUCCAUCCUGAUUCUGCUGGACCUUUCUGCAGCCUCCGACACAGUCAACCAUCAGAUCUUACUCUCCAACCUCUCUUCGAUGGACAUCACAGGAACUGUGCUUGACUGGUUUAAUUCCUAUCUCUCAGCCCAAUGACACCACAGUGACUGCUCGAAUCUCUGCCUGCCUGGCAGACAUCUCGGCCUGGAUGAAGGAACACCAUCUACAACUUAACCCAGCCAAGACCGAACUCCUUGUCUUUCCAGCCAACCCUGCUGUUGAACACAACAUCACCGUGCAGCUGGGUGCAACUACAGUAACGCCUUCCAAAACGGUCAGAAAUCUACGGGUAACCAUCGAUAACAAACUAAAUUUCACAGACCACAUCUCAAAGACCGCAAGAUCAUGUAGAUUUACACUCUACAAUAUCAGGAAGAUAAGCCCCUUCCUCUCUGAACAUGCCACACAACUUCUUGUUCAGUCACUUGUCAUAACUAGACUGGACUACUGUAAUGCUGUUUGAUGCACAUUUCAAGCUCAAGUUCAACCUAAAAUAAUUUCUGCAGAGCUACGCACCCACUAGAAGCCUGCGGUCGGCUAAGGAACAUCGCCUUGUUGUACCAACACAAAGAGGCACCAAAACACUUUCCCGGACUUUCGGCUUCAUCAUACCAUGUUGGUGGAAUGACCUUUCCAACUCCAUCCGUGAAGCAGACUCACUUUCUGUCUUCAAAAAACGGCUAACAACACAUCUUUUCCAUGAGCACUUAACCAGUCACUAAAAAAAACAAAAACAACAAAAAAAAAAACAACAAAAAAAAAUGCUUGUUGCACUUUAAUCUGUUUUGAAUGCUAUUCUGAUGCUAGUGAAACUUUGUAAUAUGGCACAUUUCGUACCACUGUCUCCUUAAGAUGAUUCACUUAUGUUUUUCCUCUUUUGUAAGUCGCUUUGGAUAAAAGCGUCUGCCAAAUGAAUAAAUGUAAAUGUAGCACAGGCUAGAAUAUGGGCAUGUUCAGGGGGCUCUGUAGCACAUCCCUUUUGAGCUACAGUCACCAAACUUUGUACACAUAUAGAUCUCAUCAAGCCGGACAACUUUCACACUUAUAGUCAUAAGCUCUGCCCAAUAGGAAGUUGGCCAUUUUGGAUUGUUUGAAAAAUGCAUGCUCUGGAAUUUAAAAUACUCCUCCCAGGGAUUUCAUGUUACAGGUACCAAAUGUGGACGACAUCAUGCCAAGACAUUGACGAUGCUUUGAUAUAUCUAACGGUGUUGCCAAAAAACUGGAAUAAGGAAAUGUCUCAUAUCUUCUGCGUGCAUGGUGAGAUUUAGAUCAAAAUUGAGCCAAAUGUUUGUCCUUGCAGGCUGAUCACAUUGAUGUGGCUAUUGUGGGUCAUGGCCGUAGCGCCACCAACUGGCGGAAGGAAGUGUGUCACUUUUAACAGACUUUGAAAUAUCCCUAUAAUUUUAACCUGAAUUGCUUCAAAUUUUUUUAGAAUAAUGUCAAGACAGUGCAGAUUUAAAAUGUUUUGAGGUAUUUGGCAUGUUUGAAUUUUCAAGUUUAUUGUUAAUAAACAUAUUUCUUAUUUUUUAUAUAAAUUAAAUAUAAUAAAAAUAUCAACUGAAAUAUAAAAAUACUAGAAAAUCUUGCCAUAAAUGUAACCCAGGUCUCAGUGGCAAUUACAAGAAAUGUCCAGUAGAGGGCAGCCAAGAUCCAUUGUUGAAUGAUUCCCAAAAUAACACUUGAGAAGAUUUUUCAUGUCCUGUCAGAAGGGAUCCCUCUUUCAUACGUUAUGUAUAUGAAGUAUGUGUAACUAUGUUCUUCAGUUCACUAUAUUUCUCAUUUUAUGUGUUAAACAUCUCCAGUUCUUGAGUUGCAGUUUCUGUUUCAUCUGAUCUCUGUAUGUUUUGAUUGCCGAUCCGGCGCUGUAAUGUGUUAUAUUGAAUUUAUGAUAAAUGUUUGUUCUGGCUGUUAUCAGUGUCGUUUAAUGUCAGCAGUUUUUUCUGCAGCUCGCGCUCUUUUCCAGGAAAUAGAAAAGUGAAAUAUAUCCCCCAUUGUGAUUGCCUUCUUAGCUGUAUUGUUUGUGUGUAUUUAGAGCGUGUGUUUUGUCUUUAUCUCUCUCUCUUAAUCGCUCUCAGGUGUGGGGUAACCAGGUGAUCUGAUUGUUAAACUGGCACCCAGUGUGUUUCCUUCCUAAAUAAACCGAGCGUUUCAUGGCUGGGUUGUGCGAUGGGUGUUCGUGAGCUGUGCCAUUUUGGUCACCGAUGCUCUCAUGCAAAUUCCCACUGCUGGAGCGGAGAGUUUGUGUUCGUCGCUGUCUGA